rnacentral:rRNA from 1 species
UCGUCAAGAGGGAAACAACCCAGACCGCCAGCUAAGGUCCCUAAAAUUGGCUAAGUGGGAAACGAAGUGGGAAGGCUAAAACAGUCAGGAUGUUGGCUUAGAAGCAGCCAUCAUUUAAAGAAAGCGUAAUAGCUCACUGGUCGAGUCGGCCUGCGCGGAAGAUGUAACGGGGCUAAGCCAGUUACCGAAGCUGCGGAUGCAUCGCAAGAUGCGUGGUAGGAGAGCGUUCUGUAAGCCUGUGAAGGUGGGUUGUGAAGCCUGCUGGAGGUAUCAGAAGUGCGAAUGCUGACAUGAGUAACGAUAAUGCGGGUGAAAAACCCGCACGCCGAAAGCCCAAGGUUUCCUUGCGCAACGUUAAUCGGCGCAGGGUGAGUCGGCCCCUAAGGCGAGGCAGAGAUGCGUAGCUGAUGGGAAACAGGUCAAUAUUCCUGUACCGAUCUAUAGUGCGAUGUGGGGACGGAGAAGGUUAGCUCAGCCAACUGUUGGAAUAGUUGGUUCAAGCCUGUAGUCGUGCCUGGUAGGCAAAUCCGCCGGGCUGAGAUGAGGGGUGAUAACGGGUCUGCUUGCAGACGAAGUGAGUGAUACCCUGCUUCCAGGAAAAGCCACUAAGCUUCAGCUAUAGACGACCGUACCGCAAACCGACACUGGUGCGCGAGAUGAGUAUUCUAAGGCGCUUGAGAGAACUCUGGAGAAGGAACUCGGCAAAUUGACACCGUAACUUCGGAAGAAGGUGUGCCUUAAGUAGGUGAACCUGUACAAGGGGAGCCGAACAAGGUCGCAGAGAAUCGGUGGCUGCGACUGUUUAAUAAAAACACAGCACUCUGCAAACACGAAAGUGGACGUAUAGGGUGUGACGCCUGCCCGGUGCUGGAAGAUUAAUUGAUGGGGUGCAAGCUCUUGAUCGAAGUCCCAGUAAACGGCGGCCGUAACUAUAACGGUCCUAAGGUAGCGAAAUUCCUUGUCGGGUAAGUUCCGACCUGCAUGAAUGGCGUAACGACUGGAGCGCUGUCUCGGGGAGUGACUCAGCGAAUUUGUUGU